rnacentral:rRNA from 1 species
GCAGUCGACGGCAGCACGGACUUAGGUCUGGUGGCGAGUGGCGAACGGGUGAGUAAUAUAUCGGAACGUGCCCAGUCGUGGGGGAUAACGUAGUGAAAAUUACGCUAAUACCGCAUACGAUCUAAGGAUGAAAGCGGGGGAUCGCAAGACCUCGCGCGAUUGGAGCGGCCGAUAUCAGAUUAGGUAGUUGGUGAGGUAAAGGCUCACCAAGCCAACGAUCUGUAGCUGGUCUGAGAGGACGGCCAGCCACACUGGAACUGAGACACGGUCCAGACUCCUACGGGAGGCAGCAGUGGGGAAUUUUGGACAAUGGACGCAAGUCUGAUCCAGCCAUUCCGCGUGCAGGACGAAGGCCUUCGGGUUGUAAACUGCUUUUGUACAGAACGAAAAGGUCUCUAUUAAUACUAGGGGCUCAUGACGGUACUGUAAGAAUAAGCACCGGCUAACUACGUGCCAGCAGCCGCGGUAAUACGUAGGGUGCAAGCGUUAAUCGGAAUUACUGGGCGUAAAGCGUGCGCAGGCGGUUAUAUAAGACAGAUGUGAAAUCCCCGGGCUCAACCUGGGAACUGCAUUUGUGACUGUAUAGCUGGAGUGCGGCAGAGGGGGAUGGAAUUCCGCGUGUAGCAGUGAAAUGCGUAGAUAUGCGGAGGAACACCGAUGGCGAAGGCAAUCCCCUGGGCCUGCACUGACGCUCAUGCACGAAAGCGUGGGGAGCAAACAGGAUUAGAUACCCUGGUAGUCACGCCCUAACGAUGUCAACUGGG